rnacentral:rRNA from 1 species
CCUACGGGUGGCAGCAGUGGGGGAUAUUGCACAAUGGGGGGAACCCUGAUGCAGCGACGCCGCGUGGGUGAAGGAGUGCUUCGGCAUGUAAAGCCCUAUCGGCAGGGAAGAAGCAAGACGGUACCUGACUAAGAAGCCCCGGCUAACUACGUGCCAGCAGCCACGGUAAUACGGAGGGGGCGAGCGUUAUCCGGAUUCACUGGGUGUAAAGGGAGCGUAGACGGCCUUGCAAGCCAGGGGUGAAAGCCCGGGGCUCAACCCCGGGACUGCCCUUGAAACUGGAUGGCUGGAGUGUGGGAGGGGCAGGCGGAAUGCCGGGUGUAGCGGGGAAAUGAGUAGAUAUCAGGAGGAACACCGGCGGCGAAGGCGGCUUGCUGGACCGUGACUGACGUUGAGGCGCGAAAGCGUGGGGAGCGAACAGGAUUAGAUACCCGGGUAGUC